rnacentral:rRNA from 1 species
GGCUCAGUAACACGUGGCUAAUCUGCCCUUAGGACGAGAACAACCCCGGGAAACUGGGGCUAACUCUUGAUAGGUGAAGAACUCUGGAAUGAGUCUUUGCCUAAAUAGAUUCACGUUAUCCUCGUGAAUUUGCCUAAGGAUGAGGCCGCGACCGAUCAGGUUGUUGGCGAGGUAAUGGCUCACCAAGCCUUUUACCGGUGCGGGCCGUGGGAGCGGGAGCCCGGAGAUGGGUACUGAGACAAGGACCCAGGCCCUACGGGGCGCAGCAGUCGCGAAACCUUUGCAAUAAGCGCAAGCUUGACAGGGCUAUCCCGAGUGCCAUCCGCUGAGGAAGGCUUUUACCCAGUCUAGAACGCUGGGGGAAUAAGGAGAGGGCAAGUCUGGUGUCAGCCGCCGCGGUAAUACCAGCUCUCCGAGUGGUGUGGAUGUUUAUUGGGCCUAAAGCAUCCGUAGCUGGCUAGGUAAGUCCCUUGUUAAAUCCACCGAAUUAAUCGUUGGAUCGCGGGGGAUACUGCUUGGCUAGGGGACGAGAGAGGCAGACGGUAUUUUCGGGGUAGGGGUGAAAUCCUAUAAUCCCGGGAAGACCACCAGUGGCGAAGGCUGUCUGCUAGAACGCGCCCGACGGUGAGGGAUGAAAGCUGGGGGAGCGAACCGGAUUAGAUACCCGGGUAGCCCCAGCUGUAAACGAUGCAGACUACGUGUUUGGACGGCCACGUGCCGUUCUAGUGCCGCACGAAGCUGUUAAGUCUGCCGCCUGGGGAGUACGAUCGCAAGAUUGAAACUUAAAGGAAUUGCGGGGGAG